UAGUCAUAUGAGCCAAUGCCUGCAAGCUUAAAGGCGUACCGUUAGCCACACGCCGAUGUACUGUUACACAAAACCGCUUGUUGUUUGACAGCCUCUUUUUUUUCCUCCUCGAUUCUCACGCAUGCGCGGAGAUCCGCAAGUGGCUUUUUAAAGCUGUGUUAGUUGUAGUGCGCAUCCCGAUGCAGUGGAUGGCAGUAAAGGCACAUGCACCAGCUUUUUCGAAUUGAAGUGCGUUAUUUCCUGUCCACUGCUGGUUCGAUGACAGCUCUCCAAUAUUGGCGCUGGUCUCCGCACCCCAUUCUCUAAAAUUGAGCACCAAGAACCCACGAGAAUGGCCCACAAGAAGAAAGUGAUCGUCAUAGAUGUGUUGCUGUUGGCUUCUUCAAGGGAUUUCCAACUCUCACUGGAGCAGUUCGCAGCUGAGUGGAUAGCAUUUGGGAUAGUAAUCAGCACCACCACAUUUGAAACAAUCGUCCUCAGACGGUAAAAAGAGUGCUCUCUCCAGGUUGGGGAUGAGCUCUUGCUGCAAGCGAAGUAGUUUAAGUAUUUUGGGGUCUUGUUCACGAGUGAAGGCGGGAGGAAACAGGAGAGCGACAGGCAAAUCGCUGCAGCGUGAUGCAGAAUGUGUAUUGGUCUGUUGUGGUGAAGAAGCUGAUCUAAAAGGCGAUGCUCUCAAUUUAACAGUCAAUUUACGUUUACGGUCAAGACCAGAAGAACUAGAUCCCGGAUACAAGCGGCCAAAAUGUGUUUGCUUUGCAGGGUGUCUGGGCCCUUCCUUAGAGAUGAGGUGAGAAGCUCGGUCAUUUGGGGAGGGCUCAGAUUCGAGCUGCUUCUCCUCCAUGUCGAGAGGAGCCAGAUGAGGUGGCUCAGGCAUCUGAUUAUGAUGCCCCCUGGAGGCCUCCCUGGUGAGGUGUUUCGGGCAUUUCCCACCAGCAGGAGACUCCGGGGAUGACCCAGGACACACUGGAGAGACUAUGUCUCCCAGCUGGCCUAGGAACACCUCGGGAUCCCCUGGGAAGAGCUGGAGGAAGUAACUGGGGAGAAGGAAGUCUGCGUUUCCCUGGUAAAGCGGUUGCCCCUGCAACCUGACCCCAGAUGGAGGUAACAAAGACCUGAAGGUCCCAAAUGUCCUUGAACGCAUCACAGCAGAGUUCCAUUAAGAUGUUGCACUGUCAGAAGUACUGUGAAAGUGUACAGACCUCGUCUUUGGCCUUCAACAGAGCCUCCAACUCUUCCAGAGAUUGCGUCAACUCGUCCUUCAACAGGUCACUGGGGCCGUGACCCCCAUGGGCCUCCAGACGUUCCCGAAAUGGAUGCCUUUCAUGGUAAUAAGAUGGGAUUCGUUGAGUACUGAAAACUUGAGUUACCCCUCCGAGAGCAUCUUCUUGAUACGCUCCUUCUCAGAAGACAGCGUGAUGUCUGCGCUUUGACUGCGA